rnacentral:rRNA from 1 species
AGCGAACGCUGGCGGCAGGCUUAACACAUGCAAGUCGAGCGCCCCGCAAGGGGAGCGGCAGACGGGAGAGUAACACGUGGGAACAUACCUUUUGGUUCGGAACAACUGAGGGAAACUUCAGCUAAUACCGGAUAAGCCCUUACGGGGAAAGAUUUAUCGCCGAAAGAUUGGCCCGCGUCUGAUUAGCUAGUUGGUGAGGUAACGGCUCACCAAGGCGACGAUCAGUAGCUGGCCUGAGAGGAUGAUCAGCCUCACUGGGACUGAGACACGGCCCAGACUCCUCCGGGAGGCAGCAGUGGGGAAUAUUGGACAAUGGGGGCAACCCUGAUCCAGCCAUGCCGCGUGAGUGAUGAAGGCCUUAGGGUUGUAAAGCUCUUUUGCCCGGGACGAUAAUGCCGGUACCGGGAGAAUAAGCCCCGGCUAACUUCGU